rnacentral:misc_RNA from 1 species
GGAAGAGCACAAGUUUGA